AUACGGAGGGUCCAAGCGUUAUCCGGAAUCAUUGGGUUUAAAGGGUGCGCAGGCGGUUUAUUAAGUCAGUGGUGAAAUCUCGGGGCUCAACUCCGAAACUGCCAUUGAUACUGAUAAACUUGAGUUCAGUUGGAGUAGGCGGAAUGUGUAGUGUAGCGGUGAAAUGCUUAGAUAUUACACAGAACACCGAUAGCGAAGGCAGCUUACUAAACUGAUACUGACGCUGAGGCACGAAAGCGUGGGGAGCGAACAGGAUUAGAAACCCUAGUAGUCC
rnacentral:rRNA from 1 species